CCUACGGGUGGCAGCAGUGAGGAAUAUUGGUCAAUGGACGAAACUCUGACCCAGCAACGCCGCGUGAAGGAAGAAGGUUUUCGGAUUGUAAACUUCUGAUCUGUGGGACGAAGAAAGUGACGGUACCACAGGAGAAAGCGACGGCUAACUACGAGCCAGCAGCCGCGGUAAUACGUAGGCGGCGAGCGUUGUCCGGAAUAACUGGGCGUAAGGGGAGCGUGGGUGGUUGAUUAAGUUAAAUGUGAAAGCCCAGGGCUCAACUCUUGAACUGCAUUUAAUACUGGUCGGCUAGAGAACAGGAGGGGUAGACGGAAUUUCUAGUGUAGCGGUGAAAUGCGUAGAUAUUAGGAAGAACACCGAUGGCGAAGGCGGUUGACUGGACUGCAACUGACACUGAGGCUCGAAAGCGUGGGUAGCAAACAGGAUUAGAUACCCCUGUAGUC
rnacentral:rRNA from 1 species